rnacentral:rRNA from 1 species
UGGGGAAUAUUGGACAAUGGGCGAAAGCCUGAUCCAGUCAUGCCGCGUGUGUGAAGAAGGUCUUCGGAUUGUAAAGCACUUUAAGUUGGGAGGAAGGGCAGUAAGCGAAUACCUUGCUGUUUUGACGUUACCGACAGAAUAAGCACCGGCUAACUCUGUGCCAGCAGCCGCGGUAAUACAGAGGGUGCAAGCGUUAAUCGGAAUUACUGGGCGUAAAGCGCGCGUAGGUGGUUCGUUAAGUUGAAUGUGAAAGCCCCGGGCUCAACCUGGGAACUGCAUCCAAAACUGGCGAGCUAGAGUAGGGCGGAGGGUGGUGGAAUUUCCUGUGUAGCGGUGAAAUGCGUAGAUAUAGGAAGGAACACCAGUGGCGAAGGCGACCACCUGGGCUCAUACUGAAACUGAGGUGCGAAAGCGUGGGGAGCAAACAGG